GGCUGGUUCAAAGAUAGUGGGUCAUUUCAGUUUAACUUGAUUGCUUGUGGUCAAUUGGGGAUUGAUCUACUUGUUCUCUCAUUUACCCCACUUCCCAUUACUAUACUUGACUAGUGUGAA